GUUCAAUCCAACAUUGUUUAUAUCAGUUCACCCGUAAUGAGAAACUUCGAGAUGCGAAUAAACUGCUUUGUGAAGUAUGCACACGGAGACAGUGUAAUGGACCAAAGGCAAAUAUAAAAGGUGAAAGGAAGCAUGUUUACACCAAUGCCAAAAAGCAGAUGCUAAUUUCUCUUGCUCCUCCUGUUCUUACUCUUCAUUUAAAGAGAUUUCAGCAGGCUGGUUUUAACCUACGCAAAGUUAACAAACACAUAAAGUUUCCGGAAAUCUUAGAUUUGGCUCCUUUUUGCACCCUUAAAUGUAAGAAUGUUGCAGAAGAAAAUACAAGGGUACUCUAUUCCUUAUAUGGAGUUGUUGAACACAGUGGUACUAUGAGGUCGGGGCAUUACACUGCCUAUGCCAAGGCAAGAACCGCAAAUAGUCAUCUCUCUAAUCUUGUUCUUCACGGUGAUAUUCCACAAGAUUUUGAAAUGGAAUCAAAAGGGCAGUGGUUUCACAUCAGCGACACACAUGUGCAAGCUGUGCCUACAACUAAAGUACUAAACUCACAAGCGUACCUCCUAUUUUAUGAGAGAAUACUGUAAUAAUAUCAAAAGCACUUUUUCUGGAAACACAUUUAUGGCUUUUAUAAUGGCUGAAAUAACGAUAAAAAAAGACUAAUUAAAAUCAUGUUCACUUAACAUUAAAUACAUGCCAGAAGAAAUCAUGUUUAUUUAAAUAUUGAAGGGAAAAAUACCUAAAAAUGUACAAAGGUUUUAUAUUGUCAUAGUGGUUUUUAUUCCUGCUUUGUUUCUGGAAAGGAAAUCCUGAAUUACUUAAGUACUUUGUGUUUAAUAUAUCUGGGUGAUGGAUCACAACACAUCAAUAAACUGACUUACCC
rnacentral:lncRNA from 1 species